GAGAGAGACCGCAGGCGGCUUCUCCAGCAUUAUAAUACCCACUGAUGCUGGCUGAGCAUGCCAUUUCUAGAUGUCAUCCAGGCCCCUGCUGCACUUUGUCCCCUGUGAGUGUGAGCACUGAAGAACUUUCUGCUUUUGUAGCCUGCUGCUGAGAUGCAUCUCGUUUUCUCUUUUGAGGAAAAGCUUAGAGAUGGAAUCUUUCUGAUGUACCAGGGAAUUCUCUUCUCAGAUUGGAAAGUGAGAACAUUUCAUCCUUGUGAAGUCUUCAUUUGUAAAAUCAAGAUUACCAGGCCAUUGGCAGCAGUGCUCUACUAGUUAUGCUGCUCCGGACCAAGUCCCACAGUAAUGGUGGGUACAAAGCAAACUUAAAAUAAGUCACAACUCAAGAUUCGUUGUGUCCUGAAGAACAGUUUUAUGGGGCAGCCAGCAAUUGCUACGCUGAGUAUCUGGCUGCCAGACCUGGUACCCUGUGCAGUUCUCCAAGGGAUGCCCCCACAGCACCCAAGUUCACGGAGCCAGAGCACCUCCUGCCCACUGGAGAGAUCCACAAACUGCCAGUCGCUUUCAUAAAGCAGGAGGGAUGCUUUGUUAUAUUUUUAUAUUUUCAUUCCAGUCCAACACCUUCUUCCUUCUUUGUUUCCUCACUGGCUAGUGCAAUUUUUUCAGCACUAGAUGUCAGUGUGGACUUGUGAUACCAGAUUGCUCUGUAUUUUUCCUUUAACAAGAGAAGAAUUGCCAUCCAGAAUGAAAUCAAGUCUCUCCAGCCUCAUGACGUGCUUCCUACAAAACCGGUCUUGUCUUUACUGUUCAAAUUCCACGUGGAAAGGGUGGAACCACAUUCUGUCCUUGACUGGGAUUAAUACAGCUGCAAAAGGGCCCUAUCUGUUUUGUGAUUAUACCACAUUUGAGUUAAAGAGGAGCUACCAUGACUCUGGAGGAAAAGCUUUGUUUAGAAAAUAAUAGAGAAAAAGAAAGUUUCUGAAUUAUCUUGACAAAUUGUGACCCUGCUAAGGUAGCAUUGUACAGGUGCUCCACAGGGAUGGCUAACCCUAACUAACGGUACUCAUCUCAACAAGAACCUUCUGAUGAGACCGAGCCUUUGCAUUCCUGUCUGAUGAGACUGAGUCUUUGCAUUCCUAUUGUCUAGAAAGACAUUCCAUCAUUUAGAAAUGUUUUGCUACACCAGGCUGUUACAAGGACUGUUCUAACUUGAACCUGGUUUAUUAUUAUUAGCCUGGUAUUUUCUGAAUACUAAACUGAAACCAGCUUGGGGCAGAGCAACCGACCAGGAAGUGCAUGAUGGCUUUCUGAAGUGGUGAAAUGACUGGUUUCUAUCACCCUUCAGAAAACGUUUCGUUUCUUUAACAAAUUUAACUCCCUCAGUCUAAAUGGUGAGUGGUCCCUGUGCUAUUAUGGGAGGGCUGAGGAAGAUGCCUCAAGCACCCUGACUCCCCUCACUUUGCAAGCAGCAAUCUAGAACAAGACACUGCUCCUCUUGCUCCUGGGGAAGUACAAACUGGGGAAGAGCAGAGCGGGGAGAGGAGGAAGCGGGUUCACAAUUCUGAUUUCUCAUCUUUUACUUUCAUGGGUUCUGGCUUCUGUCAAGUGGAUCUGAGCCAGCACGACAGAUGGAGCCUUUUACACCACCUUCGUGCUUGGUUUACACCAGGCGUGAUGCACAGAAGCCGAGGCAGAAAACGUUUCUGGCAGAGAACGCAAAGCGGAGCUCUCUGACAUUCCUCCUGACUCGGUAGAGUUGCGGCUGCGAUCUAGGCCUUCAGAAAAAAUCCAGUUACGUGCUUUUGUAUUCUUCACUAUGCAUUAACUGAUAAAGUAUUACCCUCACACAUA